CCUCGCGUGGGACGACCUGAUGACCAGAACAGUGCUCGGCACAUAGACAUAGUGAACGUGGAUUGGACAUCUUCAAGCGUCUGAGCGGUGUCUCUGACACAGCCAAUCUCAACCCACUCCCCUGCUUUUACCCACAAACGAGAAGACUUGGAGUCAAAAACCAGGGUUGAUUUUUAUUGCAAACCAGAGAUGUAAAAUACCCUCAUAAGUCGAAUCCGAACAUCGACUAGAGAAUCCGCGCUGCCGGCUGGGAAGAGCGCGGGACCGCAGCGCUCAGAUACCCAGAUCCUCUUCGGCCUCCGCCAUUGCCGGUAGCGAGACCCUGGGCAUGUCAUCGCGCUUCUCGGUGCCUCAGUUUCCCCAUCUGUACGGUGAAGAUCAUAUCCCCGUGCUCCCUCCCGUUCAGACUGUGGGCCCCGUGUGGGACGGGGUGGGUCUGACCUGAUUGUCUCGCGCGUACAUCAGCGCUCAGCACGGUGCUGGGCAAAUAGCCGGGACUUAAGAAAUACGGUGGUUACCAUUAA